CUGGAAUGCUUGAACCCCUUGGCAGCUC
rnacentral:piRNA from 1 species